CUGAUAGGACAUUUUGCUGAGAACAGACAUGUGAUUUUCUGGAAGCUGCCUGGUGAAAGGCCAUGCGAUGUUUUGCUAGAGCAGACACUUGAGAGGAACUGUUAUGUUUGGAAAGAGUCGAAGUGCGACGCAGCAGACAAUGGACAACACUCUGGCAUCGGUUCACCUUGCAACUCUUUGCUGAUCUUUCCCUGUCGUGCCUUCACAGAGAGGAACGCACCAGAGAACUCCUGGUGGUUUUCUAGCUGCUCCUUACUGCAUCAGUGGACUCAUGGUGAUCAGCAGAGCCUCAGGGUUUCUUCUGGAUUGAGCCACUGCUGCUGAUUUGUGCUUUGCUAAUGGACUGGACUGCUAACAAUGAAUAUUAGCAUCAACCCAAAGAACUUCAUGAGCAGUGUAUCCUCAUGGUUUCUUCUGGAUAGAUCAGCUGCUACUGGCUCAUGUUUGGUGUUUGCCAAGUGGACUGGACUGCCGAAUACGAAGGUUAAGGUUGACCCAAAGAACUAUUUCUAAAUAGGUCCUCAGCCCCCGUUUCCUAUUAACUUUUCUCUCCCCAUACCUCUGGUUGGUGGUGGGCUGCAAGGGAGGUUGAAGUGUUGAAGAACCAUCAUUAAAGUAGGUUUUGAAAAACGUAAGCCUAGGGGUUGGGGAUUUGACUCAGUGGUAGAGCGCUUGCCUAGCAAGUGCAAGGCCCUGGGUUCGGUCCCCAGCUCCGAAAAAAAAAAAAAAGAAAAAGAAAAAGAAAGAAAAAGAAAAAUGUAAGC
rnacentral:lncRNA from 1 species